ensembl:snRNA U6 U6 spliceosomal RNA
AUGCCCACUUUGGCAAAAUGAGGUAAAAUUGGGCUGAUACAGAGAAUAUUAGCAUAGACCUUGCAUAAGGAUGGCACAAAUGUUUUUGAGGCAUUCCAUUUUCUU